GCGAACGUAGCUCAGUUGGUUAGAGCGCUGGAUUGUGGCUCCAGAGGUCGGUGGUUCAAAUCCACCCGUUCGUACCA
rnacentral:tRNA from 1 species